rnacentral:rRNA from 1 species
UACAGAGGGUGCGAGCGUUAAUCGGAUUUACUGGGCGUAAAGCGUGCGUAGGCGGCUUUUUAAGUCGGAUGUGAAAUCCAAUGGCUUAACCAUUGAACUGCAUUUGAAACUGGAAGCCUAGAGUUCAGAAGGGGCAGAUGGAAUUAGUGGUGUAGGGGUAAAAUCCGUAGAUAUCUGAAGGAACACCAGUGGCGAAGGCGACUCCCUGGACUAGAACUGACGCUGAGGUACGAAAGCGUGGGUAGCAAACAGGAUUAGAUACCCCGGUAGUCCAAGCCGUCAUUGACGCUCAACUGCGAAGGUGUGGGUAUCAAACAGG